rnacentral:miRNA from 1 species
GGGCUGCCUCCAAGCUUCGGCUGGAGCCGGGGCGACCGCAGCGGGGCCGGGGCCGGGGCCGGGGCCGGGCCGGUGGUGCGGGGCC